rnacentral:rRNA from 1 species
UACGGAGGGUGCAAACGUUGCUCGGAAUCAUUGGGCGUAAAGCGCACGUAGGCGGUCGGCUAUGUCGGAUGUGAAAGCCUCGGGCUUAACCCGAGAAGGGCAUCCGAAACUGGCCGGCUUGAGUACGGAAGAGGGUCUCGGAAUUCCCGGUGUUGAGGUGAAAUUCGUAGAUAUCGGGAGGAACACCAGUGGCGAAGGCGGAGACCUGGGCCGAUACUGACGCCGAGGUGCGAAAGCGUGGGGAGCAAACAGG